GAUGAACGCUAGCGGGAGGCCUAACACAUGCAAGCCGAGCGGUAUUGUUUCUUCGGAAAUGAGAGAGCGGCGUACGGGUGCGGAACACGUGUGCAACCUGCCUUUAUCUGGGGGAUAGCCUUUCGAAAGGAAGAUUAAUACUCCAUAAUAUAUUGAACGGCAUCGUUUAAUAUUGAAAGCUCCGGCGGAUAGAGAUGGGCACGCGCAAGAUUAGCUAGUUGGUGAGGUAACGGCUCACCAAGGCGAUGAUCUUUAGGGGGCCUGAGGGGGUGAUCCCCGACACUGGUACUGAGACACGGACCAGACUCCUACGGGAGGCAGCAGUGAGGAAUAUUGGUCAAUGGGUGCAAGCCUGAACCGGCCAUCCCGCGUGAAGGACGACUGCCCUAUGGGUUGUAAACUUCUUUUGUAUAGGGAUAAACCUACCAUCGUGAGGGUAGCUGAAGGUACUAUACGAAUAAGCACCGGCUAACUCCGUGCCAGCAGCCGCCGUAA
rnacentral:rRNA from 1 species